AAAUGUGGGCAUAUCUGCUUGACAAUCCACAAUCUUGUCAGAACUCGGAAGCUAGGCAGGGUUGGCCUGAUUAGUGCUUAAAUGGGAGACCACUGGGAAUACCAGGUGCCACAGUAG
rnacentral:rRNA from 1 species